rnacentral:rRNA from 1 species
UGCUUAAAGCAGGCAUAUGCCUUGAAUACUCCAGCAUGGAAUAAUAUUAAAGAUUUUUAUCUUUCUUAUUGGUUCUAAGAUAAGAAUAAUGAUUAAUAGGGACAGUUGGGGGCAUUUGUAUUUAACAGUCAGAGGUGAAAUUCUUAGAUUUGUUAAAGACAAACUAAUGCGAAAGCAUUUGCCAAGGAUGUUUUCAUUAAUCAAGAACGAAAGUUAGGGGAUCGAAGACGAUCAGAUACCGUCGUAGUCUUAACCAUAAACUAUGCCAACUAGAGAUUGGAGGUU